rnacentral:rRNA from 1 species
CCCUUAGAUGUUCUGGGCCGCACGCGUGCUACACUGAGUGGAUCAGCGGGUCAGGUUGCGCGAAAGUGUUUCCUAAUCUUGAAAUCCGCUCGUGAUGGGGAUUGACGGUUGCAAUUUUCCGUCAUGAACGAGGAAUACCUUGUAAGCGCGGGUCAUCAUCCCGCGCUGAAUACGUCCCUGCCCUUUGUACACACCGCCCGUCGCUCCUACCGAUUGAAUGGUCCGGUGAAAUCUUCGGAUUGCUGAUCAAAUUCCAGCAAUGGAGCUUGAUUGCGAGAAGUUGAUUAAACCUUAUUAUUUAGAGGAAGGAGAAGUCGUAACA